rnacentral:rRNA from 1 species
UGGGGAAUAUUGCACAAUGGGCGCAAGCCUGAUGCAGCCAUGCCGCGUGUGUGAAGAAGGCUCUAGGGUUGUAAAGCACUUUCAGCGAGGAGGAAAGGUUAUUGGUUAAUACCCAAUAGCUGUGACGUUACUCGCAGAAGAAGCACCGGCUAACUCCGUGCCAGCAGCCGCGGUAAUACGGAGGGUGCGAGCGUUAAUCGGAAUUACUGGGCGUAAAGCGUGCGUAGGCGGCUACUUAAGUGGGAUGUGAAAGCCCCGGGCUCAACCUGGGAACUGCACCCCAAACUGGGUAGCUAGAGUGCGAGAGAGGAGUGUGGAAUUUCCUGUGUAGCGGUGAAAUGCGUAGAUAUAGGAAGGAACACCAGUGGCGAAGGCGACACUCUGGCUUGACACUGACGCUGAGGUACGAAAGCGUGGGGAGCAAACAGGAUUAGAUACCCUGGUAGUCCACGCCGUAAACGAUGUCGACUAGUUGUUGGAAGUCUUAGUACUUUUGGUGACGAAGCUAACGCGAUAAGUCGACCGCCUGGGGAGUACGGCCGCAAGGUUA